AACGAACGCUGGCGGCGUGCCUAACACAUGCAAGUCGUGCGAGAAAGUUCCUUCGGGAGCGAGUAAAGCGGCGCACGGGUGAGUAACACGUAGGUAACCUGCCCCCCAGUCUGGAACAACUAGAGGAAACUCUAGCUAAUGCCGGAUGAGACCACGAUCCCUUCGGGGGUUGCGGCCAAAAGAUGGCCUCUACUUGUAAGCUAUCGCUGAGGGAUGGGCCUGCGGGCCAUUAGCUUGUUGGUGAGGUAACGGCUCACCAAGGCUGUGAUGGCUAGCUGGUCUGAGAGGAUGACCAGCCACACUGGGACUGAGACACGGCCCAGACUCCUACGGGAGGCAGCAGUGGGAAUAUUGCGCAAUGGGCGAAAGCCUGACGCAGCGACGCCGCGUGGGUGAUGAA
rnacentral:rRNA from 1 species